UGCCCUUAUCGUCUACUAGGUUUAGGACAUCAGACUUUCAAUCUGGAAAAGCGAGUUCGAAUCUCGCUAAGGGCACCAA
rnacentral:tRNA from 1 species